rnacentral:rRNA from 1 species
CACGGGGGGAGCAAGCGUUGUUCGGAAUCACUGGGCGUAAAGGGCGUGUAGGCGGUCUGGUAAGUGGGAUGUGAAAGCCCCCGGCUCACCCGGGGAUCUGCAUUCCAAACUGCCAGACUUGAGUAUGGGAGAGGACAGGGGAAUUCCUGGUGUAGCGGUGAAAUGCGUAGAUAUCAGGAGGAACACCGGUGGCGAAGGCAGAUCUCUGGGCCGUAACUGACGCUGAGGAGCGAAAGCACGGGGAGCGAACAGG